AGGAAAAGAAAACGUGGAGGUUUUUAUUCUGCUAAAGAGCAAACAACUGGGACGAAAGGCAAGGAAAACAUCUGUCUGUCCAGCCCUGAAUUCAUAGAGUUGUUCCUUAGAAAAGGAACAGCACAUUCUUGUGGGCAGCUUUGCUGGAAAUUUUUCAUCUAUAAACAGCCCGUUUCUUGUUACCAUCCAGAAGAAACAAGGAAAGAAUGUUGCAUCUCGCAUUAAUGCACGAUUUCAUCUGGAAAGAGCACCUAGCCUCAACAUGCUGUUCUGCUCUGAAAACAGAGAUCUUCCUUUGGCACUGAACUAUGUGUUAUACUUCCAUUGAUAUGAGCACCAGCCACUUGCGAGAUCUGGAGAAAUUAUUUGCAGAGAAAAAUGCAAUGGUGGGUGCCAUACAAGAGACAAAUUAGCUGGUCAUUUUCCCUGCUGCAUAUUAUGCACUGAACCUUAAAAGAGUUUCANAUGAGGAGAAUGGAGGAUUUCACUGUAUGUUUAUGUUUGGGAAGGCAGAGUUGCGAAAUGGUUAGAACCUCAGCGAUCAAGUUCCUGGGUGACAGAAAAAGAGUUUAGGCUGUGUUGAGGAGACUCUGGGAAAAAGUAUGGAUGUUCAUUGUGGAAACUUUGCACUCUGCUGUGAAGCUUUUCUUUGGGGGGGGGAGGGGGAAUUGAUUUAAGAAUUAUAUGACCAGACUGCAGAAUUUAACACAGAGGACAGGGAGCUGAUGAUGAAAUUCUGCAAUGAAUUCUAUUCACCCAUUUUGCUCAGUGUCUUGCUCAAAGGUUGCUGACUCAUCUUAUUCCUCCUGGCAAACAAUGUGUUGUAUUGAAA
rnacentral:lncRNA from 1 species